rnacentral:rRNA from 1 species
CCCUUAGACGUUCUGGGCCGCACGCGCGCUACACUGACCAGUGCAACAAGCAUCCGUCCUUGGCCGACAGGCUCGGGCAAUCUUUGAACGCUGGUCGUGAUGGGGAUAGACUUUUGCAAUUUUUGGUCUUCAACGAGGAAUUCCUAGUAAACGCAAGUCAUCAACUUGCAUUGAUUACGUCCCUGCCCUUUGUACACACCGCCCGUCGCACCUACCGAUUGAAUGGUCCGGUGAAGCCUCCGGAUUGGCGCGCACCUCGGUGCCGCCGAGAAGUUGGCUAAACCUUAGCAUUUAGAGGAAGGUGAAGUCGUANCA